rnacentral:rRNA from 1 species
CCUACGGGGGGCAGCAGUGGGGAAUAUUGGACAAUGGGCGAAAGCCUGAUCCAGCCAUGCCGCGUGUGUGAAGAAGGCCUUCGGGUUGUAAAGCACUUUCAGUGGGGAAGAAAGCCUUUGGGCUAAUACCCUCGAGGAAGGACAUCACCCACAGAAGAAGCACCGGCUAACUCCGUGCCAGCAGCCGCGGUAAUACGGAGGGUGCGAGCGUUAAUCGGAAUUACUUGGCGUAAAGCGCGCGUAGGCGGUCUGAUAAGCCGGUUGUGAAAGCCCCGGGCUCAACCUGGGAACGGCAUCCGGAACUGUCAGGCUAGAGUGCAGGAGAGGAAGGUAGAAUUCCAGGUGUAGCGGUGAAAUGCGUAGAGAUCGGGAGGAAUACCAGUGGCGAAGGCGGCCUUCUGGACUGACACUGACGCUGAGGUGCGAAAGCGUGGGUAGCAAACAGGAUUAGAUACCCUUGUAGUC